rnacentral:rRNA from 1 species
UGGGGAAUUUUGGACAAUGGGGGAAACCCUGAUCCAGCCAUCCCGCGUGUGCGAUGAAGGCCUUCGGGUUGUAAAGCACUUUUGGCAGGAAAGAAACGUCAUGGGUUAAUACCCCGUGAAACUGACGGUACCUGCAGAAUAAGCACCAGCUAACUACGUGCCAGCAGCCGCGGUAAUACGUAGGGUGCAAGCGUUAAUCGGAAUUACUGGGCGUAAAGCGUGCGCAGGCGGUUCGGAAAGAAAGAUGUGAAAUCCCAGAGCUCAACUUUGGAACUGCACUUUUAACUACCGGGCUAGAGUGUGUCAGAGGGAGGUGGAAUUCCGCGUGUAGCAGUGAAAUGCGUAGAUAUGCGGAGGAACACCGAUGGCGAAGGCAGCCUCCUGGGAUAACACUGACGCUCAUGCACGAAAGCGUGGGGAGCAAACAGG